UCGGGAAUAGUGUAAUGGCAGCACCACGGAUUUUGGUUCCGUUAGUCUAGGUUCAAAUCCUAGUUCCCGAG
rnacentral:tRNA from 1 species